UACGUAGGCAGCAAGCGUUGUUCGGAGUUACUGGGCGUAAAGAGUGCGUAGGUGGUGCCCUAAGUCUGUUGUGAAAUCUCCCGGCUUAACUGGGAGGGUGCGGUGGAAACUGGGGUGCUUGAGUGUGGGAGAGGUAAGCGGAAUUCCUGGUGUAGCGGUGAAAUGCGCAGAUAUCAGGAGGAACACCAAUUGCGAAGGCAGCUCGCUGGGACGUUACUGACGCUGAGACGCGAA
rnacentral:rRNA from 1 species